CCCUUUGGCCUGGAAUAACACGAGGAAACUUGCGCUAAUACCGGAUAAGUCUUUACGGAGAAAGCUUUAUGCACCAUUGGAUGAGCCCGCACUUGAUUAGUUUGUUGGCAGGGUAAUGGCCUACCAAGACUAUGAUCAAUAGCUGAUUUGAGAGGAUGAUCAGCCACAUUGGGACUGAGACACGGCCCAAACUCCUACGGGAGGCAGCAGUGGGGAAUCUUGCACAAUGGAGGAAACUCUGAUGCAGCGAUGCCGCGUGAGUGAAGAAGGCCUUUGGGUUGUAAAGCUCUUUCGUCGGGGAAGAAAAUGACUGUACCCGAAUAAGAAGGUCCGGCUAACUUCGUGCCAGCAGCCGCGGUAAUACGAAGGGACCUAGCGUAGUUCGGAAUUACUGGGCUUAAAGAGUUCGUAGGUGGUUGAAAAAGUUGGUGGUGAAAUCCCAGAGCUUAACUCUGGAACUGCCAUCAAAACUUUUCAGCUAGAGUAUGAUAGAGGAAAGCAGAAUUUCUAGUG
rnacentral:rRNA from 1 species